CUACGGACUUAAUUGGAUUGAGUUUUGGUAUGGAAACUUACCAAGUAAUAAUUUUCAAAUUCAGAGAAACCCUGGAAUUCACAAUGGGCAAUCCUGAGCCAAAUCCUGUUUUCUGAAAACAAAGAAAAAUUAAGAAAGUUAUAAUAAAAAAGGGAUAGGUGCAGAGACUCUAUGGAAGCUGUUCUAACAAACGAAAUUGACGACUGUUUUUAUUAUAUUAGUCAAAGAAUCCUUUCACCAAAAUUACAGGAAUGGAUCACUGAAAUACUCUUUCAAUUUGUUACUUUUUAUUUAUUUUAUUAAUGAAGAUCGAUUUGUGAUAAAAAUAUUCACAAAUGAAAAAUGUGAAUCAAAUCAAUUCGAAGUUGAAGAAACGAUGGAAUAUUUAUUGAUGAAAUUAUUCACUUCAUCAUAAUCGGAUAAAACCCUUGAAGAACUGAUAAAUCAGAUGAGAAUAAAGAUAGAGUCCUAUUUUACAUGUCAAUACCGA
rnacentral:ncRNA from 1 species